rnacentral:rRNA from 1 species
UACGUAGGGUGCAAGCAUUAUCCGGAGUGACUGGGCGUAAAGAGUUGCGUAGGCGGUUAGUAAAGCGAAUAGUGAAACCUGGUGGCUCAACCAUACAGACUAUUAUUCGAACUCACUAACUCGAGAGUAGCAGAGGUAACUGGAAUUUCUUGUGUAGGAGUGAAAUCCGUAGAUAUAAGAAGGAACACCAAUGGCGUAGGCAGGUUACUGGGCUAUUUCUGACGCUAAGGCACGAAAGCGUGGGGAGCGAACCGG